rnacentral:tRNA from 1 species
UAGAUUGAAGCCCACUGGUUUGGGCUUUUAGUUGUUAACUAAAGGUUUACGGGAUCGAGGCCCGUCGGUCUAGU